GUGCUUGCUUUGGCAGCACAUACACUAAAAUUAGAACAGUACAAAAAAGAUUAGUAUGGUCUCUGCACAAAGAUGACAUGGAAUCCUGCAAAACAUUUGAUAUUAAA
ensembl:snRNA U6 U6 spliceosomal RNA